AAAAGUUAAAGUCUAUAAGAUCACAACCCUUCAGAAAAGAAAGAAAAAAACCUAUACAAUCGAUCCAUCAUCGUUCAUCACAAAAACAUAACUAGAAAUUAAGCCUAUGACAACGAUAAUUAUAAUAAUUAAUCGUGCCAACAUAGAAGCAAGACUGUACAUCUCCAAAUAAUAUAAAGUCUCGCCCUUUGUUGUCUAACUUGCUUUGAACAUCCUUGCCAUUUCCUCAUUUUCGAACUCCUUAACGAUGACAUUGAACUUGCAAGAGU
rnacentral:misc_RNA from 1 species